CGCGCGGGACGAGGUAAAGGGGCAACCCCACACGUCCGCGCCCUGCAGGGAGAGGCGCCCCGCGCUUUCCGCCGGGCGUGAGGCGGCGUUUUAGACCGUGCAACAAGAGCAGAUGGGAAGGGAAGGGAGAGGAGGGAAAAAAUCCAGCCCCCCAAAAGGGGCUGGAGUUGUGCGGAGGGAGCUGAGAGACGACGGCCUUUCCCGAAGUUUAGGGGCAAGCGGGGACCGUGGGAAGCCGCAGCCAGCCCCCCACCCCGCGGCGGGGGCAGAGGGGCGGCCCCGGGGACUCCCCUUGGCCGCGCCCCCGCGCCCGACUCAGCCCAGCCCGGCCGGCCCGGCCCCGCGCUGGCUCCUCCCUGCCUCCCGCCCCGCCAGCGUCGAGGAGCCGGGCGCCGCGACUCGGCUGCAGGCGCCAGCAGCGGGGACGCGGGAGGCAGCCGAGACCCCAGCUGCUCCCGCACAGCGGCCCCAUGGCUGCGAGCGACGGCGCCGCCCCGGGAGGCGGCGGCUGCUGCCCGCCAGCCGCCUGAGCCGCGCCCCGCCGAGCCCGCGCCCGCUCAGCGCAGGUUGGCUGAUCUCCUCCGGCAGGCUUUAAAUUAGGCUCGUCAGGGGAAAGGGAGGAUGAGGACAGAGGGAGCCACGGAACAUCGAACCAAGAGUCAUCCAUAAGAACAGCUCAGCCAAGACAGGUGACGAGCACAAGAAAUACCCAGACCAGACUUAGGUGCUUUAUGAUGCAGGGUCAAUGGUGUCAGAAGAGGAACAACAAAUGAAUACCUUUCUUCAGCACUGAUUUCUGGCUCAUGGAGUUCUGUCACAAAACAGAGAAAUUGACUGAAAGAGGUUUCAAAGGGCUCUUAUCUCCUGUCAAAAAUCACAAUUCUGAAUAAACACUAAGAGCAUUGGAUAGAAGGGGAAAGAUGCAAAAAUAUACGUCGGAAGGAAUCUCUCACAAUAAAGACAGGAUAAAUUAUAUGGACAAGCCCAAAGGCCUCCACUGAGUAGACACACAACCCUGAAGUCACAAGAUCCAUAAGCCUGGUCAAAUGCCGCCCCCCCAAUGAAUCACAAGACAACCACUCUCUCUCCAAUCUCUCAGUUCUCAUUCUCAAAGGGAAUUUACAAAACACCUUUUGGAAAUGAUCCUAUGAACUUCACUUCAAAAAUCUACUGGAUACAAAAAAUCAUGGACCAAAUAUAGACACUGGAUUUAUGGCACAUUAUAACCUGCCUGCCAUCCAAUAACCCCAGAAUGAACAAGAGAAUCCAUGUGCCUUCAUAGCUGAUUAUUUAGAGAAAGCUGGACCUUGGAUCACAGAAUAGUACUAUUGUGAAAACUGGUGUUUCACGCCAUCCCCUCUACUGUUACAAUGACUGAGGCAAGAAGUAUCAUCUCACCUCCUACCUAACGGGGUGUCUUACACCAGAGGCCUAUACUAUACACCUGUAUAGUGCAAAAGGAGUGGAAGUUUCUUGCUUAGCAGCACUGGAACUGAAACUGUGUCGGCUAUGUUUUAAGUUGUUUUUUUCCUAGCUAUUUGAAAGCUGAAAAGAGGAAAUCAUUCUGGUUUCUUUAUCCUUUUAUCUUCUCGUGAGCAGUUCUAAAGAUUCUUUUAUUACUGAUCAAAAAGUGGCAUGGCCCUGUUGUGCUGUCAUUUGCCAUAUGAUGUGUCAAUGCUGUUACCCGGGGCCACGUAUUCCUUCCACAGGUAAUUGGUAUGGGUGGUUCAAUGCACUACAGCAAACAGUGAAUCAAGAGACAAUAGGACAACUCUGUGGGAAAGGCACAAACUACUCCCUGUACAGAUCUGCAGAGCUCCUCUGUAUUCCAAAGAAAUUGUUUGGUUCUGUUCCUCUUUCUCUUUCUUAUGUUCCAUGUGGAUACUUUCAAAUCGAGGUGAGUAACAGCAUAUUAUAUUUAACUGGGAUGAUUAUUAGCAGAUUGAAGUUAUGGAAAUAAUAAUAAAAUGAUAUACAAGGGAGAGAGCUGCAAUGUAAUGAACACAGGAACUUGAUAUCCUGUGGGCAGCAACUACCUGUUGCCUCUGUUGUUAGUUUAUUGUUGAUAACAGUCUUAUUCAAAACAACAUGCCUCUUGCUGCGGCCGAGUUUUAGAGAAAGCUGGCAGGAGCAAAUAAUACUGACUGGACUUUGCCAUUCAGGCUCCAUGUGGAUAACAGUUGGGUAGUGGUAAUAUGUAGGGAUUGACCUUUACAUAAAUGAAUAUUACACUAGAAUGUUGAUUGGUAAGAACUUUACUUCCAUUAAGCCGUAGGAAUUGCUUCUUGCUGUUUUGGGCAAAAAGGUUUCAUGUAAUUAGAGUUGUAAUUAGAAAUGCCAGCCCUAAUUAUCCGUUACCUACUUCGGUUUGAGGACUAUAGAAAAAUAUUCACUUUUGACAGAAGUUUCCACCCUCUAAUUAGUAGUGAGAAGGUUUGGGCAGAAAACAGAGCCUAGUAAUAGGAAAGCCAAUUAAAAGAAGAAGGAAACAAUUACUUCCCUCAUUUCCCUGGAUGAUUUACUGCCUUUUUAUGAUGCCCUUCUUAUCAGACAUACAACAUCCCUAACUUGCUGGUACUGUAAAGCUUGAUUCUCAUCUACUUUACAUCACUCUGUCAUUUUAAAGGAGCUAUAAUGUGAAAAUAAAUUAUAGUACGGACUACAUGAGAAUCACAUGCUUAUUAUCCAAAAACAUUGGGUAUCCUUUCACAACAAUUUUAUGGGGCAACAAAGAGAACAUCAAUCUACAUAUAAACCUUUUUGGAUUACAUCCUUGAUGUGCAUCUUCCUGGUUUUGUCAUUUCCUGUUGAACAUAACUGUCACUGACAUUCACUGACAUCCAUGGAAACUAGUAACUAAGACUUUCCCAAGGCGACUUUUUUUUUAAAGCCUGCGUGUUGAAAGCCUGUAUCACACUCCCACUCCUUUCUCCUUCAUGUAAAGUACUUUAGCACUAACUUCUGAGAGCAGACUUUCUGAAGUUUGUCCCUCCAGUAGUGCAAUAUGUAUCAUCACAUGUCCAAAUAUAUUGGUGUUAGAAAUAGUAUGUAUGUACCUGUCUAGUUACUGCGAAAGCAAGGACUCUGUAUUUCUCUCUUAUUUUUAUAUGUUAUUUUUCCAUGUAUUGUUCUGAGUUCUGGGUUUCAUACACUGUUUCAUAAAUUUUUUAUAAAACCUAUACAUUUUAAUACCUUAUAAAAUUAUUUUAGAAAUAAUUUUCUAAAUUGUUUCAUAAACUGGCUGGAUACUAAGAACCAAGGACUGAAAAUUGAUAUUGACUUUAGGGCAUACUACAGUCUACCUGAUUGUAGAAAAUCUUUCUUCACACUACAGUUGAUAAUGACUUUCUUCCCUUUUGAAAAGUCUUGAUCAACCACCAAUCAUGCUAUCUUUUGUCUGCUGUUUGUUUGUCUGCUACCCCCGGGAAUUUCUCUCUUCUGCAGUUUCACAGCCCUCCUCACUGUUUUUAUUCAUCCCUGUUCCUACUACAUCUUCAGACCAGAUGAAGAAUGCUUUGCAUUUGAAAGCUUGUCUAAAUCUAUCCCAGCGGUGAAGGUGAGCCAAUAAAAGAUAUCACCCAUAAAAAUCCUUGCCUCUUGCACAAUUCUUGGACCAUCACAGCUGCAACAUUACUCUAACAUUGACAUUUUCCAUGUUUAAGACUUACCAUAUUCCAUGUUUAAGCUUUACUGUAGAAAUAAAAGAUUUAAGGUAAUGUAAAUAUUUUGUAGGGCAAGUAUUUAUAAAGAUUCUGAUCUUCACUGGGCAUAUCUACACGAGAUGCUAUAUCACCAUAGUGACUGUGAUGCCGCCACUACUGUGUAGUACCAGUAAUGCACAGUCAUUUAGUACUUUCUUUAGUACUAAAUGUACUAAAUGACUAUGCAGUACCAACUGGAGUACCAACUGCACAGCCAGGGGCACGUGUAGACAUGCCCACUGAGUACAACAGUCCAAAAAUUAAGGUAUGUGGUGAUAAUUUCAAUUUAUCUGUUUGAUUCUUGAAAUCAUGUUGAGCACACAUCAACUGCUGAAACGUCCUUAGCCUGACGAAGGGUUUUUGAACCCGAAAGCUUGCUUAAUAACUAUUCUCCAACUAUUUGGGUUGGUCUAAUAAAAGAUAUCAAAUUCACCCAAGGAACCUUGUCUGCCUAUGUCUAAAAUGAAGCAUUUUUUAUCCUUUAAAAAUAUAUCUUCUAAGGAAAGUCUCACAUAUCCUCUCCCCUUCCAAAGGCAUGGUAGAGGGAGGUGGAUAUAAUUUUAUGCUGUGCCUAGAGCUAAAUAAAACUUUAAUCUGGCUCUGGUUAAAAUAUGAUCUAUCUAUGUAUAGAUGUAACAUAUGGUUUGAAAUAACUACUCCCUUAGCUCCAUAUUAUCACAAAGUGCUUACAACAACUGUCUAUCAAGUGAGCCACAUGAAAAGCCAGGGUCUUGUUAGAUAUUUCCUAGUGUGAACAUCUCACACCACGUAAAGUAGGUAGCUAAGUUUACCAGGAUGUCUUUAGUUUUAUCCUUUGCUUUAUAAGACUGUCAUGCAUUGCAAUGUAUUCUCAGUAACAGCCCUCAUAAAUGAAUGAUAUCUGUUUUCAGAGAGAAAGAAUGAAAACGGCAGACUGAUAUUAGGGGAAGUUAAUGCAUAUACACAUCAUUUAAAAGCUUGAUUUUUCUUCAAAAUAUGAAUGUAUUAACUUGGAGUUAAAGAGAUUCUUUUUCAUCUUCAUCAUCAUCUUCAUUUUCUUCUUUAUCUCUACGACACCAUGUGGAAUAGAAGUAGUAACAUAUAAGCUUAUCUUUUCAAGUAGUUCUGUUCAUGGAUGAUAGCAAGGCCACAAGAGGAGAAAUACCAUGUUAUUUUUAUCCCAGUUUUGGCUUUUCAGUGGCAUUAGAAAUCCAUAAAAUACAAAUUUCAGUACAAACACUUAUUACUAGACAGCCUAAUAUGCUUCAAACAAUAUUCCAUUUUCUGUCCACCAACUUCCAACCUCCUUUAUUCCUAAAAACUGCUUCCUGCAGUAGAGUAAUUGGCUGUACUACAAACCAUGCAGGCUAGCACAGAUGUAACACCUCUAUAAUCCAAAAGUUUGUUCUAAAACUUCACUGCAGAGAAGUACUUCUCCAGUGGGUGGGCAUUGCUAAUCUAGUGUAAAGCUUGCCCCAGACCAACUUUUUUUCCUUUUGACACAUAUUGGAGAAGGACCUACAGAAAAGAACCUGGGAGUUAUAGUAGAUCAGCAUGACUCAGAUAUGAGUCAGUGGCAUGCUGUUGUUGCAGAAAAAGGUCUAAUAACAUACUGGGUCUUAUUAACAGAACUACUGCUUGAAAGUCAAAGGAAGUGAUUAUUCCACUGCAUUCAGUACUGAUGAUGCCUUACCUGGAGUAUUGUGUCCAGUUUUGCUAAUGCACUUCAAGAAAGACUUAGAAAUUAUAAAGAGUCCAGCAAGGACCAACAACAAUUAUUAAAGGUCUAGAAAACAUGACUUACAAUAAAUGGCUGGAACAACUGGGAUUAUUUAGCAUGGAGAAGGGGGGUUUAAUAACAAUCUCCCAGUUACCUGAAAAGUGAUUGUGAAGGGGAUGGUGAUAGAUUAUUCUCCCUGGCUAGCAGGGUCAGGACAAGAAAUAAUGGUCUUAAAUUGCAAUACAAGAAAUUUAGGUCUUAGAUAGAAGACCUAUUAGGAAUAUGCUAUUAGGAAGAAUUUACUCCCUAUAAAGUAGUUAAGCAUAAGAACAAAUUACCUAGAGAAGCUGUGGAUUCCCCAUCCUUGGGAAGUUUUUAACAGCCGGUCAUGCAAACACUUGACUGGGAUGGUUUAAACAGGAAUGAUGUUGCCUUGAGCAGGGGAUUGGACUAGAUGACCUCCUGCAGUCAACUCUAUUUUUCUAUGAGUCUAUUAUACAAAUUUUGUAUCCUCUCUGAACUACCAGUGGAUAUAUCUUCAUGUGAAAAUAAUCUGGGAGCAUUUUACUCUAAAGUAAAUUAAAUGAAUAAGAAUCUCCCAGCGCUGGCCCUGCAACCACAGAGCCAGCACUGGGAGAAAAGAAUCUCCCAGCACUGGCCCCACAAUGACAGAGCUGGUGCUGGGAGAUAAGGCUCUCCCAGUGCCAGCCCCAUGACCACAGAGCUGGAGCUGGGAGAGAAUAAUCCUCCAGCCCGGACCCUGAGACCAUGGAGCUGGCACUUGUAGAGAAGACUGUCCCAACCUGGGCCCCAUGAUUGCGAAGCUGGUGCUGGAAGAUAAGGAUCUCCCAGCCCUGGCCGUAUGAUCACAAUUGAGGAGCUGGGAUGGGGCUCCCUGCUGCCGGGACAGGGGGACAUGGCCCCACCUGAGCCCACCCCGGCAGCAGGCAACUCCCAGGGGGAAAGGAGCAAUCUCUUGCCCCAUGCUGCCUGGCUGACUGGGAGCAAAUGUGCUGCCAGUCAGGUUUGUACACAUGCACUACUACACAGUAAGUAAUCAAGAGUAAAUUUGCUCUUUGUCUUUACAAAUAGGAAAUUUACUUGAGAUUAGAGCCAAUUACUGUGCAGUAAACACCUGCAUGUGCAGACAGUGAUGCUUACUGCGUAGUAAUUAGCUCUAAUCUCAAGUAAAGCUCUCAUUUAGACCAACCAGUGAGUUGUAAAUAAUGUUCACAUGAAGUUUUGGCAUAUAACACAAAUCUAAAAAGCUAAGAGAGAACCAAUGCUAAAGAAACUAAGGAAAGUGAAUAAUGAAAGAAGGCAAAAAUGAUGACAAAUAUAACAGAAUACAUCCUCAGGCAACUAGCAAUAGAAUACAGAAACCACUAUCUCUAUUCAGUAGUCUAAAUGGAGCCCAAGUCAAUAGUGCCCGCACGUUGUUAGAAAAGUAGAUCAGAUGAUUAAUUCUGAAUAAUGCCCUAUAGAAAAUGAAGUCUUUUUUUCUGUCCUUUGAUUAUUUGUGAAGAGACCAUAGUUUCAACUAAAGUAAUGAUUUUAAACUAUUCCCCAGAUAGCUUGGAUGAACAAUUUAAUACCUAUGGGCUAUUUGCAACUGGUUUGCUUCCUAAUCUAAGGUGUCUGACUAUUCCCCAAAACUGAUAUUUUCAAAAUAUUCUGUGGGAAGUUACUGAAUUUAAAUGGAAUUUUAGCAUGUAAACCACCAGAUUUCUUUGGAAAUUCUAGCUUGAAAAUACCUGGCAUUUUGAUCCUUGAUUAGAUUACUGAAACCGGAGAAUAAACUUUACAUUAGAACAAUGAAAAGUAAAUAAUGAAUACUCUUGUUCAUACACAGGUACCCUUCUGCACAGAGAUACUAGUAGUUCUAUGAAAAACAGUCACCCCCAUUUAUGUAACCCAAACACUAUUUUCAGAAAUACUAGGUCAUGACCAGCAGAUAAGAUUUCAAAAGGAUGUGUGUAUAAUGUUUUAUAGCAAUCAACCAGCUCUCAUUAUAACUAUUUAACAAGUAAAAUAGAUUCCAUGCAGACCUGUGUAAAAUGAGUUGGCAAGCCAUUUCAGUACAUUUGUGAGUAGUCAAAGCAAAGAAGAACAAGUGUAUAUGAAGUCUAAACUGUCUUUUACCUUUCUAGAUAUUUUCUCAUGGUUGAAGCAAUUCGUAGGACACUGUGUGAAGUUAGUGCUGUGCCUGAUUUUUGGGUAGCUGACCUGCAAUCUGGCACACUUCAGAAGUACUGAAUUGAAAUAAUAAUAAUAAUUAAAUAAAGACCCUAUUCAGUCAUUCUUACAUGAAGUAUUAUCGUAUCCCUGUAGUUGCAACAGAGCAUAACCUCAUAAAUCCGGAUAUCAAAAAUCCAGAAUUAUCAAAAAUCUGGCACUUCCUCUCGCCCUCUCAGACAUGGAGGGGGAAGCUUGCAUGCAGCAGCUACCACCACCAUGCACCACCCCUCCACAUGUGGCCACUGCUCCGGGACCAGCCGCUGCUACCCCCACCUGCCUCCCCCACUCUGCAACUGGCCAGUCUUGAGCACGCUGGAUUUAGGAGGUUCUAAUGUAGUAAAUUACUAGUUCAUUUGAGCAAAAAUCCCAGAAGCUGGAGUUAAAAUCCAGACUAAGUUGAUUUUUUAAACAUGGUUGUAAUAUCAGAGCCUUUCACCUGAAGAAGGACACUUAACAUAUCUCCCAACUAGACAGCUGGUCCAAUGAAAGAUAUCACAAAAAAUACCCUUGCCUCUCAAUCCUUGAAAUAGACAAGCAUUGAUGCUCCUCUAAGGAACAAGAGCUAAUUUCAGUCUAAUCAUUAUUCAUGUAACUCACCCAUUCAUUUUUGAUGAGGAAGGAUAUCCUCUUAAAUGAGUUUUGAAUCUGUGUGAGUAUUUUCCUGAACACAAAUAUAAAAUAUGGCAGGCUGAGCAGAGAAUAGCCCAUGCUUCUAAUUCUUAUUGUGUGGCAAUUUUUUAUAACCUCUUGGUAAUGAGUUUUUCCUUUUCAACUUUUUCUUUGAUUUGUCAUGCUUGGUGUAACUAAAGAUACUAAUUAAUUCUGGCUUGAUCACAUACUCACACACACUGCCUCUAAAUUUAAGGCAGCUACAAUUAGAUUGUAAUACCAAUGCUGAGAAUAAACUUUUGGCAUUUCUUUGAUGUAAGGUAAUUAAGGGAUGGAGAGAACCCAUAGUGGAAAGUUCAAUUGACUCUGAACAGGAGGACACCUUCUGUUUUCAAAUAAAAUCUCUUGAAAGACCUAAUUUAAAAAAAAAAAUAUUUCAACAUACACAUAAGAAUAUACGAAAAUAGAUUUAAUAGGAGUAGAUGGGGAAAGUUGCACUAUAUACAAUCUAUACUAUUGUUGUUGAAAUGUUUCAAAUCCAAACAAUCAUGGAAGUGCAUAUUAAAUCAAGCCUGUUUUGAUGGAAAGUCCAUUUUCAUGUGAAAGAAUAAAAGCGAAAGAGUUUAAUUGUGGAUCAUCACCAGCAUAGUUUGCAGUAAUAUUUCUGCCAAACAGUUCAUAGAAAUAAACAACAAAGCUUAUAAGCCUGUAAUAUAACUGCAAUUCUUUAAUUGCCACACUUGGAAAAUCCAGAAUAUUAUCUGCUCUUGGUAGUCUUUUGCUGCUGAUAACAAUUCCAUUCAAAUUUCAUUUUCUGUAAUGCAAACAAGAAAGAUUCCCAGUUUGGCAUCUGUAUAGUGUUUGCAGGUGGUACCCAUAGCACUUUUGCCCAUUCAGUGAUUUCAUCAACUAACAUUUUGUCAGCAUGUUCAAGAAUAAUUUUCCUCAGGCAUACUCAGGGUCCAUCCAUAUUUUUUGUCAAGGACACACUAAAAUUCUUGGUUGACAUAUUUUAGCAUUGAAAAUAUUUUGAAGCUCUUGAAUCUAUGGAAGCCGAUUGGUACUGAAUAUCAAAAGCGGACUUCAUUACCAAUUUAUUUUUUAUUAACUUUCCAGAGAGUAUUAUUUUCUCUGAGGGUUUUGAGGAGGUGUAUGGAGCGUUGUUAUUUGACUUGCUGUUUGACUAUCUGCAGAACUAGGUGUGCAAUAAUGCUAAGACAUUCUUGAUGUCAUAAAUCAUCUUUGAAAGAGAAAUAACCUCUUUGAUAUCCCAGCCAGUCACUCUUUUUAUCCUAUAUUAAUUCUGGUAGGCCAAAUGUUUGUUUAUUUUAUUACAAGUUUGGAAUGAAAUAUAUCUACCCUGCUAAAAAUCUUUAGUAUUGUAUAAGUUACCUGCAUUUACUCAAUGUCACCAUUUUGAGAACUGCUCUAGAUGUUUGUAUUUCAGUAUUUAUAUCAGUGCUUUCAGAAUUUCAUUCAAUCCAUCUAAAUAUUUACCUGAAUUUACCUUAGUUUCAUUGUAGUGCAGGGGAUUCUCCUUACACUUUGUUCUGAUACCAUUUUGUAAGACAGCACUUAUUAAAUUAAAGAAAAUUGCUCUGGA